rnacentral:rRNA from 1 species
CCUACGGGAGGCAGCAGUAAGGAAUAUUGGUCAAUGGAGGCAACUCUGAACCAGCCAUGCCGCGUGCAGGAUGAAGGCCCUAUGGGUCGUAAACUGCUUUUGUACCAGAGAAAACCCGAGUACGUGUACUCGGUUGAUAGUAUGGUAAGAAUAAGCAUCGGCUAACUUCGUGCCAGCAGCCGCGGUAAGACGAAGGAUGCAAGCGUUAUCCGGAUUCAUUGGGUUUAAAGGGUGCGUAGGCGGACUGAUAAGUCAGUGGUGAAAUCUCUCGGCUUAACCGAGAAACUGCCAUUGAUACUGUCAGUCUAGAGUACAGAUGAUGUGGGCGGAAUAUGACAUGUAGCGGUGAAAUGCUUAGAUAUGUCAUAGAACACCGAUUGCGAAGGCAGCUCACAAAACUGUAACUGACGCUGAGGCACGAAAGUGCGGGGAUCAAACAGGAUUAGAUACCCUGGUAGUCCGCACCGUAAACGAUGAUUACUCGUUGUGCAUAGUGACGUCGACGCGACCGACGACGAACGAACGUAGUAAGUUAAGUUACCGUACCGUUACGGGGUUACGGUACCGGCCGGACCGGACCGGUACGGAACCGUUACGAACGUUAAGUUAGUUACGGACGGCGAGAGACGCGACGGACGGACGACGAGGAGGAGGUAG